rnacentral:lncRNA from 1 species
GCCGAGUUCUCCACUGAGGCCCAGUGGUCUUUACAUGCAACAUCUGUAUCUCUGUCUACACUCCACUAUACCUCCAGGAUGUCCUCCUUCGCCUGAGAAGAGCCCUGUCCUACAAGCAUGCUAAGCACCAGGCCGGUUGCUCUUACCUGCCUCCCUCAGAUGAGCCGACUCCCAGCCUUCCUCACCGACCAUCUUCUCUUGAAAACUGCAUGAGACAGCCGGAAACUGAGAUGCUGAGAGGCAGGGGGGUUUCAUUUCUCCCAAGCCAAAUCAGACAACAUCUUCCUUUCACUCUUCCUUGCAUUACUCAAGGAUUCGCCACAACUUAGUGACUGGAGCACAGAACAGAAUUUCUUUCUAUAGGUAAAUAAAAUUCCCUUCCUACAAGCUUCUCUGGUCUAG